UACAGAGGUCUCAAGCGUUGUUCGGAUUCAUCGGGCGUAAAGGGUGCGUAGGCGGCGCGGUAAGUCGGGUGUGAAAUCUCGGAGCUUAACUCCGAAACUGCAUUCGAUACUGCCGUGCUUGAGGACUGGAGAGGAGACUGGAAUUUACGGUGUAGCGGUGAAAUGCGUAGAUAUCGUAAGGAAGACCAGUGGCGAAGGCGGGUCUCUGGACAGUUCCUGACGCUGAGGCACGAAGGUCAGGGGAGCAAACGGG
rnacentral:rRNA from 1 species